rnacentral:rRNA from 1 species
AACACGUGGGUAACCUUGCCCUUAAGUGGGGGAUAACAUUUGGAAACAGAUGCUAAUACCGCAUAAAUCCAAGAACCGCAUGGUUCUUGGCUGAAAGAUGGCGUAAGCUAUCGCUUUUGGAUGGACCCCGCGGCGUAUUAGCUAGUUUGGGUCGAGGUAACGGGUCACCAAGGCAAUGAUACGUAGCCGAACUGAGAGGUUGAUCGGCCACAUUGGGACUGAGACACGGCCCAAACUCCUACGGGAGGCAGCAGUAGGGAAUCUUCCACAAUGGACGCAAGUCUGAUGGAGCAACGCCGCGUGAGUGAAGAAGGCUUUCGGGUCGUAAAACUCUGUUGUUGGAGAAGAAUGGUCGGCAGAGUAACUGUUGUCGGCGUGACGGUAUCCAACCAGAAAGCCACGGCUAACUACGUGCCAGCAGCCGCGGUAAUACGUAGGUGGCAAGCGUUAUCCGGAUUUAUUGGGCGUAAAGCGAGCGCAGGCGGUUUUUUAAGUCUGAUGUGAAAGCCCUCGGCUUAACCGAGGAAGUGCAUCGGAAACUGGGAAACUUGAGUGCAGAAGAGGACAGUGGAACUCCAUGUGUAGCGGUGAAAUGCGUAGAUAUAUGGAAGAACACCAGUGGCGAAGGCGGCUGUCU